GGAAUUCAUCGGCCCAUAUGGCUAGGACCUCGGGAACAAGGAUGGUGUAACCUGUUUCAGGAAUGGCUGGAUCUAGGGGCUCAAACGAUGCUCUCUGAACAUUGUCUUGCUCUGUCUCUGAGCUAUGAUUUCUCCAGGUCCUGGACAAGAUGUAAGCUUCAGCCAAAAUCCACCACCUUAGCAGUCACAGUGGAAAGGGAACUUUCUUUUCUAAUGGUUAAAGCAAAAGUUCUGUCCUUAUCCAGGCCUGGGUCUUUUGCCUCUCCCUGGGGUGGAGGUAGGGGGAACAAGAGCAGUCCCAUCUGACACACACGGACUGUAGCAGAAGGAGCGGUGGUUGGUGAUAGAGAAAUCAAAGCGCCAAGACCAAAAGAAGAGGACAAGGAUGCCCGGCAAGAAUCUUUACUCCCACCAGCAGUGUCUGAGAGGACGCCUCCCCGCAAACCCUCACCAACGAUCUUUCCUGUUUCCCAGUUACAGAGGUGAAAAUGUUUUAUUUUGCAUUAAAAACUAUUUUUAUAUGUUUAUUGGCCAGUUGUAAUCCUUCUUCUGUGAAUUGAUCCUUUAAAAAAUUAGAGCCUUCACCUUUUCAUAUUGAUUUCUUCGCAUAUGCAUGUCCGUCCAGUGUCGCAUGCAUGGAGCUGCCUGUCCUUCCAUUGGGGCAACUCUGCCCAAGUCAGGGCAGCUUUAAAACACGUGUUAAGAUCUGCAGUCCUGGUCCCGCUCGUGAUGAGGCCUCUCCAUGCUUUUGCAUGGCUAUUUUCCCAAAUAUCUUAUUAAGCUGUAAGAAGAAAUCUCUUUGUCAGAAUUACAUUAAAUUGAUAAAUUUAUUUAAGGAGAACAGCCAGUCCUCCACUCAAGGAAUGUGGUUUAUCUUUGCAUGUACUCUUUGUGUAUUUUGUUAAAGGCUUGAGGUUUUCUGUUUCUACUUGUGUUGCUAUUACUAAUAUAAUACAUAAUAUACAUAUUAUACACAUAUUAUAUAAUCUGCUUUUUUUUUUACUAACAUUUAAAAGCUAUUGAUUUUUAUAUAAUUAUUGUAUAACUGGUCUCCUUUCUUGUUUUUUUAAUGUAAAUGAUCAUAGGAUGUGCAAAUGACAAUAAAUUCAACACCUUUCUAAUAGUCCUCUUUUAUUUCUUUUUCUUGUCAUUCUGCAACGACUGGAAUUCGGGGACCAAUGUUAAGCAGUAGUGGUGAUGAUUUUGGCCUAAUAUUAGUGGAAAUAUCCCAAGUAUUAACCGUGAACUAAGACAUUAGUUUGAGAUAGUUAAGAAAAGCAGGGCCGGCCCUGUGGCUGAGUGGUUAAGUUCGUGUGCUCUGCUUUGGUGGCCCAGAGUUUCAGCAGUUCAAGUCCUGGGUAUAGACAUGGCACGGCUCAUCAAGCCAUGCUAAGGCGGCGUCCCACAUGGCACAGCUAGAAGGACCCACAACUAAAAGUAUACAACUAUGUACUGGGGGGCUUGGGGGAGAACAAGGAAAAAUAGACUCUUUAAAAAAAAAAAAAGGAAAGCAGCCAUCUAAUUCUUAGUGUGAUAGUUUUUGUUUGCUUUAAAAUCAGGAAUAGCUGCCAGGAUGGGUUUAAAUAUUGGUAUAAUUCUAUUGAUUUUACCCAGGCUGCUCAAUGAAUUUAUACAUGGGAAACUUUCUUUUUCCAAUUCAGGAAAGUUUCUUUAGUUAUAUCUUUGAUUAUUAGGUCUGUUUUAAAGCUCUUGUUUUGUCUUCAGCAAUGUCUUUAAUUCUUAAUUUUUAUCUUCUUUCUCUGCUUUCUGCAUUUAUCAUCCUUUCUCUCAAUAUCUUGAACUUUUAUCCUUUUCUUCUGCGUUUUUGGAGGACUUUUGGCCUCCAUAUCAUGGAUUCAGCGUUCUAUCUUGUUGGGUCUAGUGACUUUACUGCUUCUCUAUAUUUUCGAAUUCCAUUGCACUGUUUUAGUACAUUUAUAUUAUUUUCUUACCCGAUCCAAUUCCCUUUUUGAAAAAAUUUUACUGGCCUUUGCCUCUCAUCUAGACAUCUUCUCAUGUCUGUCUACCGUUGGAGAACAUCAUCUCCAGCUACUGUUUCAGAGUCCACAUUUUAAUUCUGUUGGGAUCAUAAUGAAAUUUACCAUCUAGACCUUACUUCAGGUCUCUGCUGUAACUGUGAUGUCAGCUGGAAUCAACCUGUCCCCGGAGAGCCAGAUGACCUUGGGUCAGCCUUCCCCUGUAGGCCCUGUGGGUGUUCAAUGCCGCACACAAGAUUUCCGUGGAUUCCUUGUGGUCACCUCUUGCCCCAGUUUCCUGCUUCUGCUCCUCUAGACCUGAUUUGUUUCUUCUGCGUCAUGCUUGCUCUCUUCUCUGCUCAGGGCCUAACUUCCCCUCAAGGCUGUUCAACCUCUAGCCCUUCUUCUCAGACUCUCCCCCCAUUAUGGCCCCUCUGAUCUGCUCCAGCCCCUCCCAAGGCUGGUUCAUUUCCCUAUCUCUUGAUCUUUUUGCUCACCAGACCAUCUUGGCCAUGCCUAGAAGGCUUCAUCUUCAAAGCUAGUCAUGCUCUGCAAGAUAUGUUCUUAAACAAAGACAUUUCACUCCCUGUGGGAAAUUACGUCUUCAGCUCAUAAAAUAAUAUUUUUUCCUUGCCAGUACACUGCACUUCACCUUAGUCAACAGCAUGACUUUCCUCUUGAGUGCUAUGUUCUCUGCCUUUUCAGAUACAGAAUAUUUUCAUGGUUUCCACAUUGGUUUUUUUCUGCCUUUCUACCUUUAAAAAUUGGAAGAUUUAUCUAAACUUCCCAUAAGGCCCUGAAACAGGGCAAAAUGAUUCUCUAGGGAUCCCAUAGCUGUCCCAUCACAGCACCCCCACAACCCGUCUCCUCCCCUCUCCAGCCAGAUGCAGCUAUGAUCUUCAUUUGAAGGCCUCUGAUCCUCAGCCAAAGGGAAGGAAAAGGGCUCCCGGGCUAUAGCUGAUGGGAAGCCUGUUCGAGGAUACACCUGAGCCACUUUCUCUGAUGGCCGUGUGACCAGCCUAGGGGCCCCAGGUCCAGGUAUAGCCUGCCUAUUGUGCCCACCAACUCAGGAAGGGGCUCCCUCCUUCUCCAUGGGGUAGCCACUUGUAACUUUGGGCCUCCUGCACAGCUAUUUUUAAAGGUAGAAAGGAUCGUGAGUGGAGUGAUGGCCCCAGGGCCUAUUUUUACCUUUCAUUUCUGUUCUUCCUAAUUAGGAGACAGUAGCAGGAUCCAGGCUCUCCAUCAAUGAUUCUAGGACUCUGCUUCCUGGGGAGAAGGAGGGUCAGGACGUCCUGGAGCUCUUCUCCCACGCGCGCUGCCUGCUCUAGUCUAGCACAAAUUCCCCAACGUUUCUGCAGUGAGGAUGGCAUCCUCUUCCAGCCAUGGCACGGAGGCUCUUCACUGUGUCUUAUUCCUUUCUUCCAGGGACCGGGGGUGCGAGCCCCUAGAUCCCCUGGGGACGCCAGACUCUAAUAACCAAAAUAAUCUAAGGAGUGAAGAAACAGCAGGCACCUUUCAGAGAGGACGCGCUGCAGCCAAAACAUGGACCUGGGGUUGGCUCUGCACCAAGGUGCUGUCUUGAACUUGGAGAAGUUCCAUCUGUUUAGUAACCAAAAUCCAGGGGGAAAAAAACUGCUCUCAGUAAACUCAAAUUAAGUGGCAGUGGUAGAAAGAUACGGACAAGAUGAGGUUCCAUUUGGUAAGCCAAGUAUGGCACAACUGGUCUAAACGGGUCCAAUGUAAAAUCUCUGUGAGGUCUUCAUGCUCCCCUAACCUGUUGCAUAAACAAGAGUCUUUUGCUUUGCCACACUUUAGAACAUUAUUAAUAAUUAAACAGCAUCAUUUCUAAUAAUACCAACAUGUUAUUGAAUUAACAUAUUUUAAAAAUUUAAAGCUAAACUGAAAUGUGAAAACAUAAGUGAAAUCAACUCUGUCCAUACAAAAAUUUUUAAGUGAUGUUAUAAUAGUCUCCAUCACCAUUUCUUUAGCAAAAUCAUCAAUACGUUUUGCACCUCCAGUUGUUUGAACUACUAUGUUUCAAGUACUCUGUUAAAUAUUAUUGCCCUUCCUUAGCAUUUUCCCCAGACUUCCCUGACUGUCGAUCCAAAGCCCCUGAAGACCACAUAGGUGCCUCCACCACUCAGGACCUGGUGCUCAGCGUGGCUGCAAACAAUCUGCAACUCUCAGCAUCCGCCAACACAGGUUAAGUCCCAGUGCUUUCAGCUUUAGUCCUUUGCUCUCAAUACAAAAGGUGACUAAGAACAAUGCCUUGAAGUGAGUGAGUUGGGUAACAGCAAGCAUUAACAAUAGAUGCUUCCUGGGCCAACCCUGGUGUCCUAGUGGUUAAGUUCAGUGCCUUCCACUUCAGUGGCCUGGGUUCAGUUCCUGGGCUCAGACCUACACCCUUGUCUGUUGGUGGCCAUGCUGUGGCAGUAGCCCACAUACAAAAAGAGGAAGAUUGGCAGCAGAUAUUAGCUCAGGGCAAAUCUUCCCUAGCAAAAAAAAAAAAAGAUAUUUCCUAGACUGCAGGGAGAAUAUUUAGGUAAGAGAAACACCAAAUUGAUUAACUUGUCACCUCUUUCCUCUCAGAUAGCGUGAAUGCAACAGAUUCUUGCUUAAUGAGGCAUCAUUUCUCAGGAGUGCUGGGCUCCAUUGUCUUUCUUCUCUUUGUGUUCUAAUUUGUGGUCCUGGAGGUACUCACAAGUUAGCAAAAUAGCACAAUGUUCAAAACAGUCGUACAUGCUGGCCAGGAAAGAUUUUGCAACAUUAAACAAUUCACUUUUCAACUACAUCUAAAUACAUAAUACGUGUGAAGUGUAAUAUUACCUUUACAAAGGCUGCUACAUGGAUGUUAUUCUAGAAAUGCAUAGUUUUAAAAUGAAAAUAGUUAACAAAUUUAGUAAAAUUUUCAAAAACAAAAAAACUUUUUGG
rnacentral:lncRNA from 1 species